CCUACGGGUGGCAGCAGUGAGGAAUAUUGGUCAAUGGACGCAAGUCUGAACCAGCCAUGCCGCGUGCAGGAAGACGGCUCUAUGAGUUGUAAACUGCUUUUGUACGAGGGUAAACGCAGAUUCGCGUAUCUGUCUGAAAGUAUCGUACGAAUAAGGAUCGGCUAACUCCGUGCCAGCAGCCGCGGUAAUACGGAGGAUUCAAGCGUUAUCCGGAUUUAUUGGGUUUAAAGGGUGCGUAGGCGGUCUGAUAAGUUAGAGGUGAAAGCCCGAGGCUCAACUUCGGAAUUGCCUCUGAUACUGUUCGGCUAGAGAGUAGUUGAGGUAGGCGGAAUGUAUGGUGUAGCGGUGAAAUGCGUAGAGAUCAUACAGAACACCGAUUGCGAAGGCAGCUUACCAAGCUACUUCUGACGUUGAGGCACGAAAGCGUGGGGAGCAAACAGGAGUAGAUACCCGAGUAGUC
rnacentral:rRNA from 1 species